UACGGAAGGCAGUAGUGGGGAAUAUUGCACAAUGGGCGCAAGCCUGAUGCAGCCAUGCCGCGUGUAUGAAGAAGGCCUUCGGGUUGUAAAGUACUUUCAGCGGGGAGGAAGGCGGUGAAGUUAAUAGCUUCACCGAUUGACGUUACCCGCAGAAGAAGCACCGGCUAACUCCGUGCCAGCAGCCGCGGUAAUACGGAGGGUGCAAGCGUUAAUCGGAAUUACUGGGCGUAAAGCGCACGCAGGCGGUCUGUCAAGUCGGAUGUGAAAUCCCCGGGCUUAACCUGGGAACUGCAUUCGAAACUGGCAGGCUAGAGUCUUGUAGAGGGGGUAGAAUUCCAGGUGUAGCGGUGAAAUGCGUAGAGAUCUGGAGGAAUACCGGUGGCGAAGGCGGCCCCUGGGACAAAGACUGACGCUCAGGUGCGAAAGCGUGGGGAGCAAACGAGGAUUAGAUACC
rnacentral:rRNA from 1 species